GGGAGGCAGCAGUGGGGAAUAUUGCACAAUGGAGGAAACUCUGAUGCAGCCAUGCCGCGUGCAGGAUGAAGGCCCUAUGGGUUGUAAACUGCUUUUUUACAAGAAGAAACCUUGGUACGUGUACCAACUUGACGGUAUUGUAAGAAUAAGCACCGGCUAACUCCGUACCAGCAGCCGCGGUAAUACGGAGGGUGCAAGCGUUAUCCGGAUUUAUUAGGUUUAAAGGGUUCGCAGGCGGAAUUUUAAGUCAGUGGUGAAAGCCUACAGCUCAACUGUAGAACUGCCAUUGAAACUGAUAUUCUUGAGUAUAGAUGAAGUGGGCGGAAUAUGUCAUGUAGCGGUGAAAUGCAUAGAUAUGACAUGGAACACCAAUUGCGAAGGCAGCUCACUAAACUAUUACUGACGCUCAUGAACGAAAGCGUGGGGAGCAAACAGGAUUAGAUACCCUGGUAGUCCACGCCGUAAACUAUGAUCACUAGAUGUUGGCGAUAUAUUGUCAGUGUUUUAGAGAAAUCGUUAAGUGAUCCACCUGGGGAGUACGUUCGCAAGAAUGAAACUCAAAGGAAUUGACGGGGGCCCGCACAAGCGGAGGAGCAUGUGGUUUAAUUCGAUGAUACGCGAGGAACCUUACCAAGACUUAAAUGUAUUUUGACAGGUUGAGAAAUCAACUUUUCUUCGGACAAUUUACAAGGUGCUGCAUGGUUGUCGUCAGCUCGUGCCGUGAGGUGUCGGGUUAAGUCCCAUAACGAGCGCAACCCCUAUUUUUAGUUACCAGCGAGUCAUGUCGGGAACUCUAGAAAGACUGCCUGUGUAAACAGUGAGGAAGGUGGGGAUGACGUCAAAUCAUCACGGCCCUUAUGUCUUGGGCUACACACGUGCUACAAUGGUCACUACAGUGGGCUGCCAUCUGGCAACAGAGAGCAAAUCCAUAAAGGUGAUCCCAGUUCGGAUCGGAGUCUGCAACUCGACUCUGUGAAGUUGGAUUCGCUAGUAAUCGUAUAUCAGCAAUGAUACGGUGAAUACGUUCCCGGGCCUUGUACACACCGCCCGUCAAGCCAUGGAAGUUUGUGGUGCCUGAAGUCAGUAACCGUAAGGAUCUGCCUAGGGUAAAACAGAUAACUAGGGCU
rnacentral:rRNA from 1 species